rnacentral:rRNA from 1 species
CCUACGGGUGGCAGCAGUGGGGAAUAUUGGACAAUGGGCGAAAGCCUGAUCCAGCCAUGCCGCGUGUGUGAAGAAGGCCUUCGGGUUGUAAAGCACUUUCAGUGGGGAAGAAAGCCUUGGGGCUAAUACCCUCGAGGAAGGACAUCACCCACAGAAGAAGCACCGGCUAACUCCGUGCCAGCAGCCGCGGUAAUACGGAGGGUGCGAGCGUUAAUCGGAAUUACUGGGCGUAAAGCGCGCGUAGGCGGUCUGAUAAGCCGGUUGUGAAAGCCCCGGGCUCAACCUGGGAACGGCAUCCGGAACUGUCAGGCUAGAGUGCAGGAGAGGAAGGUAGAAUUCCCGGUGUAGCGGUGAAAUGCGUAGAGAUCGGGAGGAAUACCAGUGGCGAAGGCGGCCUUCUGGACUGACACUGACGCUGAGGUGCGAAAGCGUGGGUAGCAAACAGGAUUAGAUACCCUAGUCGUC